GCUCGCCUGACGGUAUCGAGUGAGGAAGCACCGGCUAACUCCGUGCCAGCAGCCGCGGUAAAACAGAGGGUGCGAGCGUUGUCCGGAAUCACUGGGCGUAAAGGGCGCGUAGGUGGCUGGUAAGCGNGUGGNGAAAGUCCGGGGCUCAACCCCGGAUCUGCCGUGCNGAACUGCUGAGCUUGAGCACUGUAGAGGCAGGUGGAAUUCCGGGUGUAGCGGUGGAAUGCGNUAGAGAUCCGGAAGAACACCAGUGGCGAAGGCGGCCUGCUGGGCAGUUGCNUGACACUGAGGCGCGACAGCGUGGGGAGCAAACAGGAUUAGAUACCCUGGUAGUCCACGCCGUAAACGAUGGGUACCAGGUGUCUGGGGGAGCGACCCCCUUGGGUGCCGGCGCUAACGCAUGAAGUACCCCGCCUGGGGAGUACGGCCGCAAGGCUGACCCACCUCCAAGGAAUUGACGGGGGCCCGCACAAGCGGUGGAGCAUGUGGUUUUAAUUCGACGCCACGCGAAGAACCUUACCUGGGCUUGACAUGCUGGNAUGUNUUAGCCUUGCGGAAACGUGAGCCCCUCUUCGGAGUUCCAGCACAGAUGUCUGCAUGGUNNGUCGUCAGCUCGUGUCG
rnacentral:rRNA from 1 species